GAUGAACGCUGGCGGCGUGCCUAAUACAUGCAAGUCGAGCGAACAGACGAGGAGCUUGCUCCUCUGACGUUAGCGGCGGACGGGUGAGUAACACGUGGAUAACCUACCUAUAAGACUGGGAUAACUUCGGGAAACCGGAGCUAAUACCGGAUAAUAUAUUGAACCGCAUGGUUCAAUAGUGAAAGACGGUUUUGCUGUCACUUAUAGAUGGAUCCGCGCCGCAUUAGCUAGUUGGUAAGGUAACGGCUUACCAAGGCAACGAUGCGUAGCCGACCUGAGAGGGUGAUCGGCCACACUGGAACUGAGACACGGUCCAGACUCCUACGGGAGGCAGCAGUAGGGAAUCUUCCGCAAAGGGCGAAAGCCUGACGGAGCAACGCCGCGUGAGUGAUGAAGGUCUUCGGAUCGUAAAACUCUGUUAUUAGGGAAGAACAAAUGUGUAAGUAACUAUGCACGUCUUGACGGUACUUAAUCAGAAAGCCACGGCUAACUACGUG
rnacentral:rRNA from 1 species